CUCCCAGCAAUCCAUGCCCGCAUAGACGGCUCGCGUUGAUUUAAGUCGACAGACGAUAAGCGGCCUUUCCCAGGCAACCAACUCCGACCUUUCGAGGACUUGGAAUCUGUGCUGACGGCGGACAAAAGCCCUGAUCUCGAUGCAGGCCGUGAAAACCCAGUAGCCAUAUUUGAAAGCCCACCGCUCCAGCUCAUGCGCCGUUCACUUGUUGAGUCGGAUAGAUCGGCGUUCAAGGUGUUGAGGGGCGGAGGUGGGAGCAGUAUUCCAUCGUUGUCGUUAGUGGGUUCUUGGGCAGGAAGAGGAGCGGACACGUUCCUAUUCGACGGGAGAACGCCUAGAGAAUUUGCUGAAAGGUGCUGGGCAGAGGUAGCAUGACGAAGGCUACGGCCUGUGGAGGUUUUGUUUUGCUGCGGGUGUAGUUGACGCUGGUCGCGGACAGGAGUUUCGUGCGGAGGAGGGGCUUUUUGAAGGGCAGAUUGGCGGGAAACUUGCACGUCCUGGUCGGAGUUAUCUUUGGAGGAACCCAGCGAGAAGAGAGAGGAGAGCCGCUUGGCAGAUUUCACUGGUAUGGAUAACAUUGCUUAUUUGACUAUGGGUGAGGAAUUAUUGAAUAUAAGGUAGGACUGUGGAAGAGAAGGCAAGGAGGCGGUGGCACAUCGAAAACGAAGCACAAGGCAAUAGUGCCAAAACGUCACUGAAACAUCCAAUCGGGGCAGCAGGGGCCAAAAGAGAACAGAAAAGAAGUUUCAAGAUCAUAAGAUAUAAAGGACCGAUGGAAAAUAAAGCAAGGGACGCAGAGUCGGUUUCCCAGGAUGUACGGUGACUCUGAAGUUGGAAGAGGAGGAGGCAGAAGUCGGAAGAAACAAUGGUAUAAAAAAAUCGCAAAUGAACAACAAACAGCGGGCCCCAAGCCGUUUGUCCCAGGACCAGAACCACCUCUUACCAGCAAAUCGGGAUCCUUGGGCUUUCUUAGUUUCUUUUAGGCCCUCUUUACUACUCCACUUGACUAGCCCCGCCUCAAACACUGCCUAGAUACAUUUUUCUCUCGUAUUCCCGCACAUUACCUCCUUGGGAAUCCACUUGUUACUGAGCUUCAGCUUCUUCCUCCUCCUCCAGUCCUUCCUCCUUUUCUUCUUUUCUGACACUUGAUACAUCAGCUGAUUGAAUAGUUACGGGAUUUUUUAUUUAAGUUUCUCGACUCCCGGAACACGAAUGAUAAAAGGGUGUCCAGGAUUUGGCCAUCCGGAUCCGUUGGUCGACAAGUCAACAAAAUUCAAGCUUUUAUUCGAUGGACUUCCCGACUUAGCCUAAAAUUUAAAGAAAAUAAAUGGGGGCAAAAGAUUUAAAAAUAAAUGACC
rnacentral:sRNA from 1 species